UACGUAGGUGGCAAGCGUUGUCCGGAUUUAUUGGGUUUAAAGGGCGCGUAGGCGGCCCUGUAAGUCAGUGCUGAAAUAUCCCAGCUUAACUGGGAGGGUGGCAUUGAUACUGCGGGGCUAGAGUACAGAUGAGGUAGGCGGAAUUGACGGUGUAGCGGUGAAAUGCUUAGAUAUCGUCAAGAACACCUAUAGCGAAGGCAGCUUACUAGGCUGUAACUGACGCUGAGGCACGAAAGUGUGGGGAGCAAACAGG
rnacentral:rRNA from 1 species